rnacentral:rRNA from 1 species
CUUGGUCAUUUAGAGGAAGUAAAAGUCGUAACAAGGUCUCCGUAGGUGAACCUGCGGAGGGAUCAUUACAAGAACGCCCGGGCUUCGGCCUGGUUAUUCAUAACCCUUUGUUGUCCGACUCUGUUGCCUCCGGGGCGACCCUGCCUUCGGGCGGGGGCUCCGGGUGGACACUUCAAACUCCUGCGUAACUUUGCAGUCUGAGUAAACUUAAUUAAUAAAUUAAAACUUUUAACAACGGAUCUCUUGGUUCUGGCAUCGAUGAAGAACGCAGCGAAAUGCGAUAAGUAAUGUGAAUUGCAGAAUUCAGUGAAUCAUCGAAUCUUUGAACGCACAUUGCGCCCCCUGGUAUUCCGGGGGGCAUGCCUGUUCGAGCGUCAUUUCACCACUCAAGCCUCGCUUGGUAUUGGGCAACGCGGUCCGCCGCGUGCCUCAAAUCGUCCGGCUGGGUCUUCUGUCCCCUAAGCGUUGUGGAAACUAUUCGCUAAAGGGUGUUCGGGAGGCUACGCCGUAAAACAACCCCAUUUCUAAGGUUGACCUCGGAUCAGGUAGGGAUACCCGCUGAACUUAAGCAUAUCAAUAAGCGGAGGA